rnacentral:rRNA from 1 species
GACGAACGCUGGCGGCGUGCUUAACACAUGCAAGUCGAACGGAAAGGCCUGCUUUCCCUUGUGGAUUGCGGGUACUCGAGUGGCGAACGGGUGAGUAACACGUGAGUGAUCUGCCCCCAACUUGGGUAUAAGCCUGGGAAACUGGGUCUAAUUCCCGAUAGGACUGCAGGGUGGUGCCUGUGGUGGAAAACGAUUUUCUAGUGGUUGGGGAUGAGCUCGCGGCCUAUCAGCUUGUUGGUGGGGUAAUGGCCUACCAAGGCGGCGACGGGUAGCCGGCCUGGGAGGGUGGACGGGCACAUUGGACCUGAGAUACGGCCCAGACGGCUACGGGAGGCAGGAGUGGGGAAUAUUGCACGAUGGGCGGAAGCCUGAAGCAGCGACGCCGCGUGGGGGAUGACGGCCUUCGGGUUGUAAACUCCUUUCGACCGAGAGGAAGCCACCUGGUUGGAAGGGUGGUGACGGUAGUGGUAGAAGAAGCACCGGCUAACUACGUG